GAAAGGAGACAAGGGCACAUGAAGGAUGCCUUGGCUCUCGGAGGCGACGAAGGACGUGACAAGCUGCGAUAAGCCGCGCCAAGGGGCAAAUACCCGAAAUAAGCGCGGAUUUCCGAAUGGGGCAACCCGCCGGCAUCAGCCGGCAUCCUGCCAAGCAGGAGGCGAACCCGGGGAACUGAAACAUCUCAGUACCCGGAGGAAAAGAAAGUAACAACGAUUGCGCAAGUAGUGGCGAGCGAACGCGCAAGAGCCCAAACCGGGGAUGUGGCAACGCAUCCGCCGGGGUUGUAGGACCGUCGACAGUGCCUGUGUGAAGCGAUAGCCGAAGCGUUUUGGAAAAGCGCGCCAUAGCGGGUGAAAGCCCCGUAGGCGAAAUCGGAUCACACAGACCAGGCGGCACCUGAGUAGGGCGGGACACGAGAAAUCCUGUCUGAAUCCGCGGGGACCAUCCCGUAAGGCUAAAUACUACCGAGAGACCGAUAGCGGACCAGUACCGUGAGGGAAAGGUGAAAAGAACCCCGAACAGGGGAGUGCAACAGACCCUGAAAUCAUGUGCCUACAAGCGGUCGGAGCCACUUAGUGUGGUGACGGCGUGCCUUUUGCAUAAUGAACCUACGAGUUGCCUGUGUUGGCGAGGCUAAGGGCUUCAGGCCCGGAGCCGAAGCGAAAGCGAGUCGGAAAACGGCGUCGAGUCAGCACGGGCAGACGCGAAACCAAGUGAUCUACCCUUGGGCAGGUUGAAGGACAGGUAACACUGUCUGGAGGACCGAACCGGUAAGCGUUGAAAAGCUUUCGGAUGACCUGAGGGUAGGAGUGAAAGGCCAAUCAAACUUGGAGAUAGCUCGUACUCCCCGAAAUGCAUUUAGGUGCAGCCUCGGGCGAUAUACCGCGGAGGUAGAGCGACCGAUAGGAUGCGAGGGCUUCACCGCCUAUCAAGUCCUGACGAACUCCGAAUGCCGCGGCAUUAACCCCGGGAGUGAGGGCGCGGGUGCUAAGGUCCGCGUCCGAGAGAGGAACAACUCAGACCACCGUCUAAGGCCCCGAAAUCCGGGCUAAGUUGAAGACAAUAACGAGGUGGGGCCGCAGUGACAGCUAGGAUGUUGGCUUGGAAGCAGCCAUUCAUUCAAAGAGUGCGUAACAGCUCACUAGUCGAGCGGCCCUGCAUGGAUAAUAAUCGGGCAUAAGUCCGGUGCCGAAGACGUGGAAUUGUCCUUAGAGGACGAUUGGUAGGGGAGCAUUCCGGCAGUCGCCGAAGGCGGACCGCGAGAUCCGCUGGAGACCCCGGAAAAGCAAAUGUAGGUAUAAGUAACGACAAGGAGGGCGAGAAACCCUCCCGCCGCAAGACCAAGGGUUCCUGAUCAACGCUAAUCGGAUCAGGGUCAGUCGGGACCUAAGGAAAAGCCGCAAGGCGUAUUCGAUGGACAAACGGUAAACAUUCCGUUACCUCAUGUAACAGUGACGUGGCGACGGAGGCGUGACACACCUGCGCACUGACGGAAUAGUGCGUUGAAGCGUAAAGGUAAUCGCGGGGCAGGCAAAUCCACCCUGCGAGCUGAAGCGCGACAGUACGGCGAGCCCCCGGGCAAGCCGAUAACGGUGGUAAUCAGACUCCCAAGAAAAACCGCUAAACAUAUGUUGCAUGAGCCCGUACCGCAAACCGACACAGGUGGUCGGGUAGAACAUACCAAGGCGCUCGAGAGAUUCACGGUUAAGGAACUAGGCAAAUUGACCCCGUAACUUCGGAAAAAGGGGUCCCUCCCUCCGGGGAGGGCGCAGAGAAUAGGUCCAGGCAACUGUUUAACAAAAACACAGGGCUGUGCGAAGUUUAAAGACGAAGUAUACAGCCUGACACCUGCCCGGUGCCGGAAGGUUAAGAGGAGGCGUCAUCGCAAGAGAAGCGCUGAAUUGAAGCCCCGGUAAACGGCGGCCGUAACUAUAACGGUCCUAAGGUAGCGAAAUUCCUUGUCGGGUAAGUUCCGACCUG
rnacentral:rRNA from 1 species